GCUGGGCGUGGUGGCGCGCGCCUGUAAUCCCAGCUACUCAGGAGGCUGAGGCAGGAGAAUCGCUUGAACCCGGGAGGUGGAGGCUGCAGUGAGCCGAGAUCACACCAUUGUCCUCCAGCCUGGGUGACAGAGCCAGACUCCGUCUCAA
rfam:Homo sapiens chromosome 16 genomic contig, GRCh38 reference assembly alternate locus group ALT_REF_LOCI_1.